UCCGUAGGCGGGCGAUUAAGUCAGAGGUGAAAUCCCACAGCUCAACUGUGGAACUGCCUUUGAUACUGGUUGUCUUGAGUUACAGUGAAGUAGAUAGAAUAUGUAGUGUAGCGGUGAAAUGCAUAGAUAUUACAUAGAAUACCGAUUGCGAAGGCAGUCUACUAACUGUUAACUGACGCUAAGGGACGAAAGCGUGGGGAGCGAACAGGAUUAGAUUACCCUGGUAGUCC
rnacentral:rRNA from 1 species